rnacentral:rRNA from 1 species
GAUGAACGCUGGCGGCGUGCCUAAUACAUGCAAGUCAAGCGAACAGACGAGGCGCUUGCUCCUUCGACGUUAGCGGCGGACGGGUGAGUAACAAGUAGGUAACCUACCUAUAAGACUGGGAUAACUUCGGGAAACCGGAGCUAAUACCGGAUAAUAUUUCGAACCGCAUGGUUCGAUAGUGAAAGAUGGCUUUGCUAUCAAUUAUACAUGGACCUGCGCCGUAUUAGCUAGUUGGUAAGGUAACGGCUUACCAAGGCAACGAUACGUAGCCGACAUGAGAGAGGGAUAGACCACACUGGAACUGAAACACGGUCCAGACGCCUACGGGAGGCAGCAGUAGGGAAUCUUCCGGAAAGGGCGAAGGCCUGACGCAACAAAGCCGCGUGUGUGAUGAAGGUCAUCGGAUCGUAAAACUCUUUUAUUAAGGAAGAACAAACGUGUAAGUAACUGUGCACGUCUUGACGGUACCUAAUCAGAAAGCCACGGCUAACUACGUG